rnacentral:rRNA from 1 species
UACCAGCACCCCGAGUGGUCGGGACGAUUAUUGGGCCUAAAGCAUCCGUAGCCGGUUCUGCAAGUCCCCCGUUAAAUCCAGCUGCUCAACAGAUGGGCCGCGGAGGAUACUCCAGAGCUAGGAGGCAGGAGAGGCAAGCGGUACUCAGUGGGUAGGGGUAAAAUCCGUUGAUCCAUUGAAGACCACCAGUAGCGAAGGCGGCACUCUGGGCCGGUACUGACGCUGAGGAGCGAAAGCGUGGGGAGCAAACAGG